rnacentral:lncRNA from 12 species
UUUGGGCCUACUUGUUUAACCCGGAGGGUGUACUACAUUCUGUUUUCUAGGACAAAGAUCAACUCUGGCCAAGCUCUGAGCCUGGCUUAGGUGGUGCUCCUGGCAGUAGGAGAGGAGGAGUGCUCAGCAAGGUGAGGCAGCCUGUCUCUGAUGCCUUCUCCUUUCCAUGGAAAGCACCUUCUUGCAUCCUGAUACUUGUUGGAAUAAAUCCUCAUGUUACUGUGAGUUGGAGAAGGUGGCAAGGAAUGCAAUGCUGAAGCAAUACUUCCUGACACUAUGGCAUGAUUCUCUGAGCCCUUUUCCUUUUCAGCAUCUGAUGGAGAGUAACUGAAGUAAGAAUGGAAGUGGCUCCAUGGAAGAGAUGAAGAGAGAGGAUAGUAGGAUGUAAUGAACUGAAUCCAGCAAGAAUGGAGUACGAAAAGGAGUGAAAAAAUGUACCGGAGAAAUUACUGAGGGUAGAGUGGGUAUUAAUGAAAUGGGGAAUAUCAUGGUCAAAUGAAUCAUCUGUAAAAAGGUUUAGUUGAGUAUUUAAAGUUGGAUUAUUGGGUAAUACUUUUGAUACUUAGCUGAUAAACAUCUGAGUCUCAGCUCAUGACCCUCAGCUUCAAUCAACAGGGAAGCACAUAAGCACUCUAAAGGUGAGAUUAAUCUGACAUAGUUAAGGCACUUGUCUUAGGACAAGAUUAUUGCCUAUAUGAGUUCAGACCCAGCUGUCUAAAUAUUAGGUACCUGUAUUAUGACAGCCAAAUCCCCUGUUAGAAGAUCAAAAAGAAGGAAGGUGGUGGACCAGUGAAGGGGCACAAGAGCCAACAGAAGAACACAAGGGGCAGCUGAAGUUGAAAAACUAAGGGAAAGGAGAGAGGACUACACCUGUAGUUCAGCACUGCUCUGUGCUCCCUAGGGAAGCUGUACUCAAAGAAGUAAAUCACAUAUUUAUGCACAAAGGACUUUGUACCAAGAGGGCUGUACUUCUGUACUGCCUUUAUUGCAACUCCUACUCAGACAUCAAGAAUGCCAUAUCAACAGCUAUUGAUAGUAUGGAGAUAGAGCAGGAUUAGGAUUAACAAAGGAAGAGGACAGGCUGGGCAUUAGGAAACAGACCAGUCUAAAGGGUUCUGCAAAGGCUAAAGAGGGCCCUUAAGAUAACAGUAUGCCUUACAGCAAGUCCAAAGCUUCUCCAGCCUGAACCAGUCUUGCUCUCUUUUGGUGUACCUAUUUGUUUGCCUUUGCUCUGUACCUGGAUAAAUUGAGAAAUCAGUGGGAGAAAGCAGAGCUGAGGAGAGCACUGCUUGUCUCAGCCAUCAAAUUGUUACAGGAAUAGAACAGUAGCUCACGGGAUUUGAGCAGCCACCUGAUUUUGAAAAGCUCCAUGAGAAAAUGUAAAAAUUCCUUUCCUUCCCUCUCACUGAGCCUGGUUCUUGCUUAUAUUUUUAGUUAUUUCUUUAAAAAAAAAAAAAAAAGUGUAGUCUUCUAGCUGGAUUUAUUUACUUUUGUUCUAAAGGAGACAUUGUUUGGCAAUUUUAUUUUUCA